CAAAAGUUUGUCAAAAUAUUUUUCUCACAUGAUCUAAAUUUUAUCUGUUUGUGAUAUUGGCUGUUUUAGCGUGAGGUAAAAAGGAUCCACAGGAGUCUGGAGGAUGGGCACAAAUACAGAGGAAAUGAGAGGUUCACGUCUGAGCACGACUCCGGUGGCACAAAUUCAAUGUUGUGGACAAUUGCAGAUGAAGAGGAAUGUGACACCUCUUUGAUCAGAAGAGCAACAGAUACUUUGAGAACAUCAGGAGGGAAUCUAAGUUGUCAGAAGACAAAGUGGAAGAGGAUCGGAGGGCCAA